rnacentral:rRNA from 1 species
AGCCAUCAUUUAAAGAAAGCGUAAUAGCUCACUGGUCGAGUCGGCCUGCGCGGAAGAUGUAACGGGGCUAAACCAUGCACCGAAGCUGCGGCAGCGAACGUAUCACUUAAAGCGAUUCAGCGGGUUACGAUUGACGGAGCGAAGCGACGUCAAAGCGUAUACAAAGUCGAGUCGGUUUAAGGAUACGUUCGUUGGGUAGGGGAGCGUUCUGUAAGCCUG